GGUUGUAUGGUGUAGUGGUUAGCACUUCGGAUUCUGAUCUUCAUUAGAUACUUCCGGCGACUUGGGUUCAAUUCCCAAUACGACCU
rnacentral:tRNA from 1 species